rnacentral:rRNA from 1 species
UUUAUUUGAGAGUUUGAUCCUGGCUCAGGAUGAACGCUGGCGGCGUGCCUAACACAUGCAAGUCGAGCGGAGAUACCCAGAAGUACUCGUACGGAAAGGUAUCUUAGCGGCGGACGGGUGAGUAACACGUGAGCAACCUGCCUUCAGCUGGGGAAUAACAUUGGGAAACCAGUGCUAAUACCGCAUGAAAUUACGGGGAGACCUCUUCCUGUAAUCAUAGGACUUCGGUCCGGCAGAAGAUGGGCUCGCGUCCGAUUAGUUAGUUGGUGAGGUAACGGCCCACCAAGACCGCGAUCGGUAGCCGAACUGAGAGGUUGAUCGGCCACAUUGGGACUGAGACACGGCCCAGACUCCUACGGGAGGCAGCAGUGGGGAAUAUUGGGCAAUGGGGGAAACC